GGUAUUGGAGUGGGCUAGCAUGCUAGUCGACGCACAGAACUAUGUCUGUGAGUGGCAUACGGCUCAGUAACGCGUGGCUAACCUACCCUCAGGACGGAGACAACCCCGGGAAACUGGGACUAAUAUCCGAUAGGCGAGGAGGCCUGGAAUGGUUUCUCACCUAAAAGACUUUGGAAACAUGCUUUCAUUGUUGCCUGAGGAUGGGGCCGCGCCCGAUCAGGUUGUUGGUGAGGUAAUGGCUCACCAAGCCUAUAACCGGUACGGGCCGUGAGAGCGGUAGCCCGGAGAUGGGUACUGAGACAAGGACCCAGGCCCUACGGGGCGCAGCAGUCGCGAAAACUCCGCAAUGCACGAAAGUGUGACGGGGCUACCCCGAGUGCUCUCCGCUGAGGAAAGCUUUUCCCUGGUAUAACUAGCCAGGGGAAUAAGGAGAGGGCAAGACUGGUGUCAGCCGCCGCGGUAAUACCAGCUCUCCGAGUGGUAGGGAUGAUUAUUGGGCUUAAAGCGUCCGUAGCCGGCUUAGCAAGUCUCCUGUUAAACUCAGCGACUUAAUCGUUGAAUCGCGGGAGAUACUAUUAGGCUAGGAGGCGGGAGAGGUCGACGGUACUUCUGGGGUAGGGGUGAAAUCCUAUAGUCCCGGGAGGACCACCAGUGGCGAAGGCUGUCGACUAGAACGCGCUCGACGGUGAGGGACGAAAGCUGGGGGAGCGAACCGGAUUAGAUACCCGGGUAGUCCCAGCUGUAAACGAUGCGGGCUAGGUGUUGGAAUGGCUACGUGCCAUUUCAGUGCCGCAGGGAAGCCAUUAAGCCCGCCGCCUGGGGGAGUACGGCCGCAAGGCUGAAACUUAAAGGAAUUGGCGGGGGAGCACCACAAGGCGUGAAGCUUGCGGUUCAAUUGGAGUCAACGCCGGG
rnacentral:rRNA from 1 species